UAACGCAAAAACUAAGAUGCAGGAAAGAAAGAUACUUUUUUGGUAUCAUCUUCCCGCUGGACAGUCCAAACAGAUGGUUCACGUCCGAAAGCUCGUAACGAUACUCUGUCUUGUAAACAUAAGGUGGCGGAGAAAGUAUUGAAGGGCGAAUGGUGGAAGAAAGAGUUAAGAUUUAUAACUUCCGGUUCAUCGAAGAAGAUUCUUAGAAGAUGGCGUUCGGUUCGCAAAGAUUGCGGUUGCUGAAAACCAUCGAUUUAAGAUCGAUUCAAAGCAUUACUAUGAAGAGAACAUCGCUCGAUUUAAAUGCUUAACUCAUAGUGUUUUCUAACCUAUAUAAUAUUUACGCCCCUUUAGAUCAUCUUUAAAUAAUGCUUAAAGAUAUUUCGUCCGAAGUGGUGUUUAAAAAUUGGAGGGUUAAGAAACAUAGUGAUGUAAGCC